GUUUUAAUAAUUUAAAUAAAAUAUUGGUCUUGUAAACCAAAAACAAGGGAAACCUUUUAAAACU
rnacentral:tRNA from 1 species